rnacentral:tRNA from 2 species
AAGAAGUUAGUUAAAUAAUAACAUUAGUAUGUCAUACUAAAAUUAUUAGAAUCUAAUACAUCUUU